CUCACCGGAAAAAAGUAAUCUGGCUCCCGGCGAGGAGGCUGCAGCGCCCGCGGCCGCCCGGCCAGCGGCCCCGGCCCCGGAGGCUCGGACCGGCCCCAGGAUUGGGGUUUCUGCGCCCCAGCAGGUUCCUUCUGCUGUGCCCACGCCUGCCGGGCCCAGCACAGCGCCCACCCAUGAUGUCCCAAUAUCCCUGGUCCUGGAAGCUGAUGACCAGGGACUCUGUGCGGUUCCUUCGCCGCAGAAGACUGUAGGCGACUUGAAGGGAGGCCUUCGUCUUGCCCACCCUGUAUCGCGAUGGCAUGAAGCCAUGGUCAAUGCCAGCUGCCUACCUGGAACCAGACCUGAACUGAUGUCCCUUGUCACUCUGGGUGACUGAGGAGGAAUACACUUGAAGAUGGAACCAAGUAUAACCCCACCCCCGUGUUAUGGCCGGAGGGCUGCAGCCCACAGAAGACGUGGAGGAGAGGCCACGUGAGGACACAAAAAGAAGGUAGCCAUCUGCAAGCCAGGAGGAGGGCCCUUACCAAAACCUGACCGUGCUGGCACCCUGAUCUCAGACUUCUAGCCUCCAGAACUGUGAGGAAGAAAUAUCUGUUGUUUAAACAACUCACUCCAUGGUAUUUUGUUAUGUCAGCCCAAGCCAACUAAGGCACUGAUCAAAUGAAAAAAGCAGAUGCAGAGUUGUAUUACAGUCUUCCUAUUGUCUUAUAAGUAACGUGUGAAUAUUCAAUAUUCAUAGGAAUAAAGGUUAGAAAUAUAUUACAGUGCUAACCAUAAUUUUCAGUGGACAGUACCACAUUUAUUUUCUUUAUACUUUUCCAAACUUCGCAAAUUUUCUAGAGUAACGAUGAUGAUACUUAAAUUUCUUGAGUUCUUACCAUGUGCCAGGCCCCAUGCUACACAUUUUACCUGUUUUAUCUCAUUUAAAUCUUCACAAGAAGCCCACAAAGGAGGUGUUGUUAUUUUACAGAGGAGGAAACUGAGGCUUAGAGAGAUUAACUUAGAGUUUCUGGUUCAGAGAGGAAGCAGAUAAGUGAAAAUGGAUCACAAACACCUAGAAAUGCUGGAUAAAAUGUAAUUCAAUGUUUUUACUGCUUGGUUGAAUGGUAAGACAGAAAGAAGGGUCCCUGUGCAUCAGGAAGAAGAACAGCCUGUGCAGAGGCUGAUGCCACAGCUGAAGGGAGGACGUCCUUGAAAACAGCAAGGACUUUGGGUUGUGACACUCAUGUGGACAGGAGACAAACCCUUGGGGAGGGGACCUUCAAAGGGCUACAUCUCAGUAAAAAGCCCCAUGGUGAGGGUUGAGGAGAGAGGACUGAAGGACCCUAAGCCAUCUAACUAGAAAGGACCCACCAUCAAAGGAGGGGAACAAGAACGUGUGGGUGAGAGAACAGAGUCUCCACAGCUGUGGUUGUACCUCUCACUUAUAGCAAGUCUGAAUUUACUCGGUGGGCACUGCCAAGCCAAGAGAUCUGUAUAAAAUCCCAGGCUUGUGAUAUUCCUGGGGCAAAUGGCAGAUGCAAACACAAAACUGGUCUCUAGGGACACUCUGAAUUCUUUUCACACAGAAUUCUUUCAGAAAACAGAACCAAACCAAACCGGAAGAGGAGCUCACCACCUAAAACUACAAAACA